rnacentral:rRNA from 1 species
GACGAACGCUGGCGGCGUGCCUAAUACAUGCAAGUAGAACGCUGAAGGAGGAGCUUGCUUCUCCGGAUGAGUUGCGAACGGGUGAGUAACGCGUAGGUAACCUGCCUGGUAGCGGGGGAUAACUAUUGGAAACGAUAGCUAAUACCGCAUAAGAGUAGAUGUCGCAUGACAUUUGCUUAAAAGGUGCAACUGCACCACUACCAGAUGGACCUGCGUUGUAUUAGCUAGUUGGUGAGGUAACGGCUCACCAAGGCAACGAUACAUAGCCGACCUGAGAGGGUGAUCGGCCACACUGGGACUGAGACACGGCCCAGACUCCUACGGGAGGCAGCAGUAAGGAAUCUUCGGCAAUGGACGGAAGUCUGACCGAGCAACGCCGCGUGAGUGAAGAAGGUUUUCGGAUCGUAAAGCUCUGUUGUAAGAGAAGAACGAGUGUGAGAGUGGAAAGUUCACACUGUGACGGUAUCUUACCAGAAAGGGACGGCUAACUACGUG